GACAUUCAUUGAGAUCUGCAAAGGGCCCCCACUUGGAAUGGGCACUGUAAGAGGCCCUACAGAAAAAUGUAUUUGAACUAAAAGAAAAGAAAAGCAGCCCAGUUGUGCAGACAACUUACUCCCCCAGCCCAGACCACAAAAGGGAAUGCUAGGGAGGGGUGAGCCAAUCAACCUGCUGACUAUUUUGAAACAAAGAGUUAGGAUGGUAUAAAAACCUCAGGGAGCUUGGAGCCUGUCUCUUCCAACAGAAACACUCUUGAAUUGCUGCUGGACUGCAAGAGGAGUGUGAUCUGGUUAGCAUGGAACCAGGAACUUUAAGCUGCAUUUCACCACCAGGCCAAGGUAAAAACCAUUUUAACUAUAGAUGUGCUUAAUACUGUUAAAUUAAAAAAAAAACAACCUUCAGGUAUUGCACAGGUUGUAUAGGGAUUUGGGGGUAAUCCUAACUUAA